AGCACUGGAUCAUCUCGGCGAAACUUCCUUGCAAAAGGCGCAUUACUGUCAACCAUCUUUUGCAUGUCAGCAAGGUUUAGGUGGUGUGGAUGCUGCUUAGGAGGAUUGUCCCAUGAUAUGAAAUGAAGGUCACUAUUCACAGUGGUGUUACGAAACUCCUGUGCAUUGCAAAUGACAGUGUGGAAAUAACCUUCUGGGGAAGAUAUAAAGUUUGCAUAAUACAUGAGUACUACUCGAGGUAAAUUGUCCCAUCCCCAUAUGGUGUAAUCAACGAAAGGCCGAGAAAGUGCCAUCCAGGCCGAACCUAUAAAAAAGGGCAGAAAUUUUGUCAUCAUAACCCAUCAAUCAAGCCGACUUCUAAUCGCUACAAAUAAUCUUUUGCAAAUUUAACCCUUUCAUGAACUGUUCAGGUGUCAAAUCACAAGAAUUCUCGAUACCAUUUCUUAACAGUACUUAAAAGAAAAUUAUUUACACACUCCGGCACAAGAUUUGAGUAAGGUUGUCAUGCAUAAAAACAUAACUGUUGAAUGUUAUGCGGUACAAAACUAAGGAUAAAGAAACUUAAAGAUUUUCUCAAAGGAAAAGUUGGCCACAUCUUAAAGUAAAGCUGUUGUUUCUUCCCACUGGCAAGCAAAGCUUAAUAGGUCAUAGCCAUAGCCCUCAACCCUUAUCAUGCAUAUAUCGACAGAUUCUUUCCAUCUUACAACAAGAAAGCACAAUAGAUACAACUUCUAUAGGCUGUAGGGGUUAGUCAUAAGUAUCACUCCCAUAUCAGAAAUUUAAGAAUCAUUUCCAAGUUAUUAAUACACAAUUUCACCAGAUGAAAAAGCAUAGAAGCAUACACAAACAUACAUAUACUCAUUCAAUUUCCAACAAUUCAAUGAUUCUGCCAAACUUGAAUGUCAAAAUGUUAUUUUCACCAUCAUAUAUAAACCAAAUGAUGAAGAGAAUGGCAUGAUUGUGCAACUGUUGACUGUAUCAUUAAAUCCAGUGGAUUUGAGGAAAAAGGAAAAGCACACCAAGGUGGGUGAUGAUUUAAUAAUUUUUCCCAAAUUCCGAUAUUCGUAGAUUUUUUCCAGAAAACUAAUUGAAGAAUACAAGCAUUUGAUGCCACAAUUUUCUUGUUUUCCUUUGCCUCAUACAAAGAGGUCGAUUAUAAAGAUAUUUAAAAUUGUGAAUCAAAAGGAAAAGAAUUUUGCAAUCUUGCAUUUGUCCACUAUAAGUUGUAGUAAAAAAGAUAAAGUACUGCAUAACUGCUUGGUCACUAAAGUGUUACUUUUCAAUGAUGCACUACAAUUGCAACUGUGUUCUUAUUUUCUAUGCCAUGCAAUCUCAACUGAGAAUUGUUUGCAACUUCUAACGCUAGGACAAUCAGUUCUCUAUUCUCACUAUGCAACAUAUGCGAGACUUAUAAAGAAUGCAUGAACCCUUAAUUUUCAGUUGAAAACAAUCUCAAAAGCAGUUCCUCUGUACAGCCCCAUUGCAUCUCAAGUUACAGCCAACACAUUGAUUUUCAUACACAGCUGUAUCAACAAUAUAUGAACAGUGAAGAAACUUAGCUAACAAUAUCAGGAUAACAUAGCUCCUUAAACAUGGUCCAACCAAGCCCAACUGUGGCUUGGACAAAUACUUUAUUCACUUAAGUGGCUAAACUACAGGAAACAAUUUUCGUUACCUUCUUUUAACCCUAAUAAAAAAAAAAUUGAUCAACAGAUAUUAAAGAAAAUUACCAGAAUCCAUAACUACAUUCCUAUAUUCUAAUUUCCCCUCCUUUUAACC
rnacentral:misc_RNA from 1 species